ACUAAAGGCAUCUAGGGUUCCGGUUUUCCGCCUGUCUGAUGGGCAAUGGGGAAUGUCUGGUCCGAGGGUUGCCAUCCGGACGAUCCGUCCGGACACACGGCGGGACAAAAGCCCGGGAGAG
rnacentral:sRNA from 2 species